CUGGGGGGCAGGAAAUACCCAGGGGUUGGAGAAGACAACAAUGAUAAGGUAUUGUUAUUUUGAAUGGCCAAAACACCCGAUAAAAGGAGCUUCGGUCUGGUGGCCGGAGGAUGGGUCAGAUAGAUUUUAC